rnacentral:rRNA from 1 species
CCUACGGGAGGCUGCAGUGAGGAAUAUUGGUCAAUGGACGAGAGCCUGAACCAGCCACGUAGCGUGAGGGAUGACUGCCCUCUGGGUUGUAAACUUCUUUUAUAAAGGAAUAAAACGAGGCACGUGUGCCUUUUUGCAUGUACUUUAUGAAUAAGGAUCGGCUAACUCCGUGCCAGCAGCCGCGGUAAUACGGAGGAUCCGAGCGUUAUCCGGAUUUAUUGGGUUUAAAGGGAGCGGAGAUGGGUUUUUCAGCACGUUGGUGAAGUUUGCGGCUCAACCGGAAAAUUGCAGUUGAUACUGGCAGUCUUGAGUGCAGGUGAGGUAGGCGGAAUUCGUGGUGUAGCGGUGAAAUGCUUAGAUAUCACGAAGAACCCCGAUUGCGAAGGCAGCUUACUAAACUGUGACUGACAUUGAUGCACGAAAGUGUGGGGAUCAAACAGGAUUAGAUACCCUUGUAGUC